rnacentral:rRNA from 1 species
UGGGGAAUUUUGCGCAAUGGGCGAAAGCCUGACGCAGCAACGCCGCGUGAGUGAUGAAGGCCCUCGGGUCGUAAAGCUCUGUCAGAGGGGAAGAAACUUUUGAGGGAGAAUAUCCCUUGAAACUGACGGUACCCUCAAAGGAAGCACCGGCUAACUCCGUGCCAGCAGCCGCGGUAAUACGGAGGGUGCAAGCGUUGUUCGGAAUUAUUGGGCGUAAAGCGCGUGUAGGCGGCUAUUUAAGUCUGAUGUGAAAGCCCGGGGCUCAACCUCGGAAGUGCAUUGGAAACUGGAUAGCUUGAGUACGGGAGAGGGUAGUGGAAUUUCGAGUGUAGGGGUGAAAUCCGUAGAUAUUCGAAGGAACACCGGUGGCGAAGGCGGCUACCUGGACCGAUACUGACGC